CAGAUUAAUACCUUAUGAUAUCCGAAGACGGCAUCCGAAUCGGAUUAUUGGUAAUAUUGGUGAAGGAUGGGGAUGCGUCCGAUUAGCUUGUUGGCGGGGUAACGGCCCACCAAGGCAUCGAUCGGUAGGGGUUCUGAGAGGAAGGUCCCCCACAUUGGAACUGAGACACGGUCCAAACUCCUACGGGAGGCAGCAGUGAGGAAUAUUGGUCAAUGGUCGAGAGACUGAACCAGCCAAGUAGCGUGCAGGAAGACGGCCCUAUGGGUUGUAAACUGCUUUUAUGCGGGGAUAAAGCGGGGAACGUGUUCCCCUUUGCAGGUACCGCAUGAAUAAGGACCGGCUAAUUCCGUGCCAGCAGCCGCGGUAAUACGGAAGGUCCGGGCGUUAUCCGGAUUUAUUGGGUUUAAAGGGAGCGCAGGCCGCCUUUUAAGCGUGUUGUGAAAUGUCCCGGCUCAACCGGGUCACUGCAGCGCGAACUGGAAGGCUUGAGUACGCUGUAGGUAGGCGGAAUUCGUGGUGUAGCGGUGAGAUGCUUAGAUAUCACGAAGAACUCCGAUUGCGAAGGCAGCCUACCAUCGCGUGACUGACGCUGAGGCUCGAAAGUGCGGGUAUCGAACAGGGUUAGAU
rnacentral:rRNA from 1 species